rnacentral:rRNA from 1 species
CUUUUUAAAUAUUUAAAAUAGUCUCUGCCCAAUGAAAUUUUAAUGGCCGCAGUACUUUGACUGUGCAAAGGUAGCAUAAUCAUUUGUUUUUUAAUUGAAAACUGGAAUAAAAGAGUUGACGUAAAAUAAACUUUUUUAGAAAAUAUUUAAAUUGACAUUAAAGUCAAAAGGCUUUAAUAUAAUAGAGGGACGAUAAGACCCUGUGAAAUUUUAUUUAUUAAUAAAUCAUAAUGAGAAACUGAAAUUUAAAUGAAUUUAACUGGGGCGGUUUAUAUAUACACCUAUCUUAAUAAAAAAACAAAAAUGUUAAUUUUUAAAACCCUAAUAUGUAAAAUUUUACAAAUUACUCCAGGGAUAACAGCACAAUCUCACUUAAUAGUACAUAUUGACAGUGGGGUUUGUGACCUCGAUGUUGAAUUGGGGAUACUGUAA